AUUGAACGCUGGCGGCAGGCCUAACACAUGCAAGUCGAACGAGUGGCGGACGGGUGAGUAAUGUCUGGGAAACUGCCUGAUGGAGGGGGAUACCUACUGGAAAGGGUGGCUAAUACAGCAUACCAUCGGAUGUGCCACGAUGGGCUUAGCACGUAGGGGGGGUAAAGGCUCACCUAGCAGACGAUCCCUAGCUGGGCUGAGAGGAUGACCAGCCACACUGGAACUGAGACACGGUCCAGACUCCUACGGGAGGCAGCAGUGGGAAAUAUUGCACAAUGGGCGCAAGCCUGAUGCAGCCAUGCCGCGUGUAUGAAGAAGGCCUUCGGGUUGUAAAGUACUUUCAGCGGGGAGGCGUUACCCGCAGAAGAAGCACCGGCUAACUCCGUGCCAGCAGCCGCGGUAAUUC
rnacentral:rRNA from 1 species